AUUGAACGCUGGCGGCAGGCUUAACACAUGCAAGUCGAACGAGUGGCGGACGGGUGAGUAAUGCUUGGGAAACCAGCUUAUGGAGGGGGAUAACUACGGGAAACUGUAGCCAAUACCGCGUACCAUAGGACGAGUCCAAGUGGGAUUAGGUAGUUGGUGAGGUAAAGGCUCACCAAGCCGACGACCUCUAGCUGGUAUGAGAGGAUGACCGGCAACACUGGGACGGAGACACGGCCCAGAUUCCUACGAGAGGCAGCGGUGGGGAAUAGUGGGCAAUGGGGGAAACCUGACGCAGCCAUGCCGCGUGAAGGAAGAGGGCCUUCGGGUUGUAAAGUUCUUUCGGUAGGGAGGCGUUAACUGCAGAAGAAGCAACGGCUAACUCCGUGCCAGCAGCCGCGGUAAUAC
rnacentral:rRNA from 1 species